rnacentral:tRNA from 1 species
GCCCUUGUGGCGCAACCGGACAGCGCGCGAGUUUCCGAAGCUCGAGACUGCAGGUUCGAAUCCUGCCAAGGGCGCCA